UAUAAGGGAUUUAGAGAUUUUUCUCGUAACCUUUGACCUUUCGUCUUAUUCAAAAAUAUUUGGAAAUAUUAUGUGUUUUGUUUAUGUUUUACUUUAUUAUCAAAAGUACUAUAAGCAUGACUUAUCAUUUUUAAAUUUGCACUAAAUUUUUUGAAUAAGACGAACGGUCAAAGGUUGCAAACAAAAACCCUAAAUCCCCCUAAA
rnacentral:pre_miRNA from 1 species